rnacentral:lncRNA from 1 species
AAAGAUCUGCUGUAUCAUUCAGAAGACAAGGCUCCUCAGGUCUAGUAUGGGAUGACAAGCUUCUGUCAGGUGAAUUGGGUCAGCAGCCGGCGCAACCCACCGACCAAAGAGAAGACCACCACCUCCUUCACUCCGGGACUACUGAUAACAGCGACAAGCAGCCUCGACAAGAAAUACUACAAGCCCAACCCCACGGCAAGCAACAAGAAGCCAAAGAAGAGGUCGCCGCCUCCCGGGUUUCACCAAGAACCGUUGUUGGAUCGAUUGAGAGGAGCCGAUCCAACGGCGGCGGACCCCGUUAUCGCACUGGUAGGGUGUCUCCGGCGAUAGAGCCGCCGUCUCCGAAGGUUUCGGCAUGUGGGUUUUGCACUUGCAGUGCUUUUGGGAAACCACCACCUGAAAAGACUCGUCGGAGACCUCCCAAGCAUGCGGGUAAGCGUACGAUGUGAUUCGGAUGUUUCAGUGUAUAUGUGGGGAGUCAUUUAAAGUUGGUGUUUUUCCGGUGGCCGGAGAUGGGACAUUCUGGUGGGGCGGGGCCUCCUAUUUAUGGGAUUAGGUCGUAGGAGUCGUCGGUUGUCAGAUGUCCAGUUGUUCAGCUGAACAGAAAGGAUGAGGUGUAAGAAUUUUUGGAGCUAAAAACUAAAACAAAAUUAAUGCUUUUGUCUUUUUUUUUUUGUGGUUAGUUUCUGGACCAGGUUGUUGUACUCUUGUAGACUGGCGGGGGGGAUAAUUCUGUUUCUUCUGCUGGAUGUAAUAUGUGAAUAUAUUGUCAGAAAUAUUUCGGAGCAUUUGUUAAAGUUGUUUUCAGUGUACAAACUACGAAACAAAUGUAGUAGCUCAAUUCAGAAUCUUUCCAGCUUUAACGGAUCUAUUUCUGUCAAAUUAUCAUCUCGACCAAUGCCAUUGGGAUUUGCGUUUACUGUCGGUCUUCUAGCGAAAGAAAACAGAAUCACCGAUUUUCAUGCAAGUUUCUAGAAAUCACAUUCGAAGAAGAAGUAUCAACUGUGGCGUCUGAAGAAAGUAGCAUUGGGUCGAAUUUUCGACAGGCUCGCGAGUAUGAAAUAUAUAUAGAGCACACGUUUAAUCCCAGUCAGGGGUUCUUGGUGGUUUUAGGUUAUCUAACUUCAACUAAUCAGCUGGCCGCCAGAGCUUCCGGGCUUUGGCCUUUUGGUACUACAGCAUAUUAGGAGUAGCAAGACUGCUUAGUUUCACAGUUUCAUGGACUGCAAAGUGGAAUAUAAAUUGAAACGAAUGAAAAAGAAAACUGGACUAUUAAAUUACAAAUGGAAAGAGUAAUUAAAAUACUAAAAAUGAAAAUGAAGUGUAUGAACGUUUUUAUCCUUCUCAUAAGUAAGUUAAAAUUUUUUUUUAUAUUUUUUGUAAAUUUAUUUUUUAAUUAUUUUUUUACUUCAUAUUCAUUAAAUUAUUAUAGUACAACUUUUUUGCAAAAAUUUUAAAAAAUAGCAAUCCAAAAGAACUCUUUUAAGUUUAGACAAUUGUGCUAUAUGUGGUACUGCAUUUAGUAUCUUUUUUUACUUUGUCCUGUAUAUAAAAAUAAAUAAUAGAAGACAGCAAUUGAUAGGAGCAAUCAUUUAAAAAAAGAAAAAGGUAUGUUGACUGAGUUGCCCUCCCAUAUCCUCUUCCUCCCACUAGUCCAUGUCACAUGCUCCUCCCAUUCACUUGUGGACUGUGAUCUCACAUCCUCCUUUCUAACCCCGACUUCCUCCCCCCUCUCCCCAUCCCUCAACUCCCCUUUUAUAUAAGUGCAGAAAAAGUGUAACACACACACACAAACACACACAGAGUUUGGUAUAAGUAAAGUCUAACGAGUUUUAAAGAAAGAUCUCGACAGACACACACACACACCCAUAUUAAAGAGGAAGAAAGGGGGAAAAAAAGAUUGAACGACUCUCAAACGUUAGCGAAACAAAAGAGGAUGGCUGGUUUACAAAGAUCUGCUGUAUCAUUCAGAAGACAAGGCUCCUCAGGUCUAGUAUGGGAUGACAAGCUUCUGUCAGGUGAAUUGGGUCAGCAGCCGGCGCAACCCACCGACCAAAGAGAAGACCACCACCUCCUUCACUCCGGGACUACUGAUAACAGCGACAAGCAGCCUCGACAAGAAAUACUACAAGCCCAACCCCACGGCAAGCAACAAGAAGCCAAAGAAGAGGUCGCCGCCUCCCGGGUUUCACC